CCCUUUUUUUGUGCAUCUUUGUGGUUUAGAUUUCCUACUUAAGUUAACAAAUUGCCUUAAUUUUGCAAGAAAAAAACACAAAACAAAUUUUAUUUUUAGUGUGAUAUUUUAUUACUUUGCUAUAUCUUGUUUCUCUACACUUUUAUAAUUUUAUUAACUUUAUAUCCUUCAUUUGUCUACAUUUUACAAAAGGUAUCAGUUUAUUCUACAUUAUAAUAUUAAGUCACAUAAUCUUCCCUAACUUAGACAUUUUAUUAUUUUCUAAAUAUUUGCAUUCCAUACAUUCUCAUUCCCUUAAAGUUUUAUAGCUAUCUAGCUUUUUUAGUAUUGAAUAGAAAAUAACACUUUUUCUACAAGUGAUAGCUCAUCAAUUUUAGAUUCUUUAUUAUCACUUGAAUAUUGUAUUCUACUUAUUUAUGAACAAUAAAUAAAAAUAUGAUCAAACUAAAUAUAAUAGCUGUACUUACAAUUCCUAAAGACAUAAGUUAUCCAGACAUAAGUACUGGAUCUGUGAAAGGGAUAGUAAUUUUAAAUGUUCUAAUGAGAGAAUUCUCAUUAAAAAGCAGUAACUAUUAAGUCCCAGCUUAUCCAGCAAUCAAAGAACCUGAUAAUCGUGUAGAACUGUGGUAGGAACUAAUUGGCAGGACAAUUCAGGAAGGAUUUUUCCUCUGUAACCCAGCAACCUAGUCUUAGGUUGCCAAUGAUACAAUAAAAUGGACCUCUUCCCUUUUUAUUAAGUAGUUCAAUUAGGCAUACCAACUGUAAAUUUGAUUAUCUGAAGAAUUUCUAACCUAUUAGUAACUGUACACUUACAUUAUCUACCUAAAUCAGAGUUUAAUGGUGUGUCCC
rnacentral:lncRNA from 1 species